rnacentral:rRNA from 1 species
AUCCGGUGCGAGGACAGUGUCAGGUGGGCAGUUUGACUGGGGCGGUCGCCUCCUAAAGAGUAACGGAGGCGCCCCAAGGUUCCCUCAGAAUGGUUGGAAAUCAUUCGAAGAGUGCAAAGGCAGAAGGGAGCUUGACUGCGAGACCUACAAGUCGAGCAGGGACGAAAGUCGGGCUUAGUGAUCCGGUGGUACCGCAUGGAAGGGCCAUCGCUCAACGGAUAAAAGCUACCCUGGGGAUAACAGGCUUAUCUCCCCCAAGAGUCCACAUCGACGGGGAGGUUUGGCACCUCGAUGUCGGCUCAUCGCAUCCUGGGGCUGAAGUAGGUCCCAAGGGUUGGGCUGUUCGCCCAUUAAAGCGGUACGCGAGCUGGGUUCAGAACGUCGUGAGACAGUUCGGUCCCUAUCUGUCGUGGGCGUAGGAAAUUUGAGAGGAGCUGUCCUUAGUACGAGAGGACCGGGAUGGACGUACCGCUGGUGUACCAGUUGUUCCGCCAGGAGCACCGCUGGGUAGCUAUGUACGGAAGGGAUAAGCGCUGAAAGCAUCUAAGCGUGAAGCCCCCCUCAAGAUGAGAUUUCCCAAUUAGUAAGACCCCUUGAAGACGACGAGGUAGAUAGGUUGGGGGUGGAAGUGCAGUAAUGCAUGGAGCUGACCAAUACUAAUCGGUCGAGGGCUUAUCCUAAA